rnacentral:rRNA from 1 species
UACGUAGGGUGCAAGCGUUAAUCGGAAUUACUGGGCGUAAAGCGUGCGCAGGCGGUUAUGUAAGACAGAUGGGAAAUCCCCGGGCUUAACCUGGGAACUGCAUUUGUGACUGCAAGGCUGGAGUGCGGCAGAGGGGGAUGGAAUUCCGCGUGUAGCAGUGAAAUGCGUAGAUAUGCGGAGGAACACCGAUGGCGAAGGCAAUCCCCUGGGCCUGCACUGACGCUCAUGCACGAAAGCGUGGGGAGCAAACAGG